GGGUAAUUUCUCUUUUUUUAUAGAUAUGAAGUCGUAGAUGGAAGAAGCAGGGACAUGGAUUAGAAGAUUGGAGGUAUUGCAGGAAAUCUUGAGCUUAAUAAUGCACCUGGUCUUGAAAGAGGACCACAACUGGUCUUGAAAAAGAAUGCAGCUGGAGCAGCAUGAGGGGAAGAAAAAGAUAUAUUGGUGGAUGUUAUUGAUGAUGAUUUGAGUGAUUUGUAUGAGAAUGUUGGUUAUAAAAUGCGCAUGAACACGGAAGGGCAAGAAAAGAAGGCAAAAGAAGUAAUAGCAGGUGCGGGGAUAUAGACCGAAUGGUGGAUUGUUGGGUGAUAUUAAGAAUCGCUAGCGACCCAUUAGGUUGGAUACCGAGAAUGUGUCUGGUGUCAAAGUUCUGGCUUGGGAUCUGAUGGUUGAUCACUUACUGUACUACUUAUAUUUCUACAUGCUCAUGCAGCAUUAACAAUACACUUUGAGUAAAUGUCAAUGACCAGUUUUAGACACAAAAAAAAUAUCCGAUAUCAUUAACAUUUGUUGCUGCUGGAGAUGGCAGCAUAUCUGUUACUUCUUAUAUACGUUUAUAAGAGGGAUGUAAGUCUCUGACUUGAGCCUUUUAAGUUGUUUUAAUUGAGUAAGUAUUAACAUAAACUCUUGGGCACUAAAUUUUCUUCUAGAUCAUUGCGAGAUAAAGCAUAACUUCUAUCGAUCCACUCAUAAGUAUCUAAUACUAAUUUCAUUUUGUUGAGUGGUUCAGGUUAUAACGUGAUGAAGAACGAGAAACUUGUGUACAAGUUGAAGAGUGUGGAUGGAAGCAGACCAGUUAUGAGUCUUUCCAACGAGAUGAUUGAUGGGUCAACAAUUGAAGAUAAAGAAACGGCCCUGGUGUGGUUGUAUGAAGAUGCAGACCCUGAAUUUGGAUCUUGUCAAGUUAAAGAACUCAUCUAUCAUCUUGAGAGUGUGCUCGCCAAUGAGCCUGUUACAGUGAAAAGAGGGCAUAGUGUCGGGGUCAAAUUACAAGUACGAUUAUGUUCAGUUUGCGCAUUUGGUUUGCAUAUAAUGGAUCGGGAUAGCAAAUGGAAUGCAGAUAAUUGGUUAUUAGUAUAACAAAAGGUUGGGAAUUUAGGUUGUGUGACAUUAAGAAGACUGAUUCAUUAGUGAUAAUGCUUUAUUCUUA